CAAGGAGGCAGCGCGAGAGAUUCAGAACCCGCAGGAGAUGGAGGUUUUGGAAAGGACUUUGUGAAGCCUUAACGAGCAGGUUGUGCACUGGGAUAAACUCAAGACUGGAAAUUCCUGUUUGGGUUAAGAAAAGAUGCUUCAGCAACUUGGGCCCGAUGCAUACAAAGGGGAAAUGAUGUGAAGACAUAGGGAGAAGAAAGCCAUCAACUAAGCAAGGAGAGAGGCCUCAGAAGAAGCCAACCUUGCCAACACCUUGAUCUUGGACUUCCAGACUCCAGAAUUGUACAAAAGUAAGUUUCUGUUGUUGGAGUCACCUGGUCUGUGGUACUUUGUUAUAGCAGACUGAGAUAUUUCUCCUGGGCAUUGUACCUCCUUUUGAUCUGAGCGUGCACCCUGAUUCCAUCCCAAUACCAGACUAACAAGGUUCUGUUGCUUUCUGCUUCUAGGCCUUAUUACAGUCCUAGCUUUGAUUUUUGCUCUUGUCUGGUGGGUCCUUGCCCUGCUCUCCUUAUUCUCCUAACCCUGGCUCCUAUGCACUGCCUUUCUCCAUCCUGCUACUCCUGCCUCUUUUUCAUCAUUCAGCCCAACCUAGGAAAGCAGCCCACUCAGCCACCAAGACUGAUGGUCCUUCCUGUUUAUAGCACUUGUCCGACAGGCCACAUGGUGCUGGAUACCUGCUGGGAUCAGAAGUAAUGGGAGAAGGAUAGCAAGAGAAUGAGCCCUUCUCCUUUCUCUCUCUCACCACCCUCCCCAAGAACUUCCCACAGGUUGAUAAAUACUGUUAUGGUUCAAAACAGAAGGUGCAACUUGGCUCUAUGCUCAGAUGUUUCUCCUGAGGGUUAGAGAAACAGAUGGAGGGCUGUCCAACUCGAGGAGAAAGCCAGACUCGUUCAGAGUGAUCUUUAUAUGCUCUAAAACCUGGCACAGGUGGUCUUUACUAGUCUCCAUCCUGAAUGCCAGGAAACUGAAGGACUCUUUGGGGAAGUGGCCACGUGCUGGGAGGUUGGACAAAUGCUCUCCAUGCUAGGGAGCAGGUUUGGAGGUCUGCUCUUUGCACUGGGACCCUGUUGACAUCUUAUGUCCCAACUGGGAUUAUUUGGGGGAAAUUGUUUGCAGAGGAAAACAACUCUCACUUCUUCCUACUAUGAACCUGUGAGAUCAUCUUCCCGGCUGAGCUCUUUGGUUCCUUUUUCACUGUAAGGAAAAACUCCUACACACCCCGUUGCCCUUUUAAGGCUCAGAUAGGACUGCAUGCUGAAGCUCAGCAUUUCCAGGUGGUUUAAUCUGGACAAAGACAGAUAGUUUGGACUCACCUCAGUGCACACUGGAUUCGAGGAGGUGAUGACUUUACAGCUGGCGGAAAUCAGCACCGCCAACAGGAAGCA